CCUCCCUCUUAUCUCAAAAGAAAAUAGAGAAUCCCUAUAGACAUACAUGAAUAAGUCAAGUUAAUAUGUGAGAAAAUGAUUUAUGUACUGAAAACAAGAUGUUAAUAAUGGUGAAAUUUGAACUUUUAGCUUGACCUACCAUCUAACUGGACAAUUACUAAAGAAAACAACAUAUAAUAAAAUAUGGAGAAAUUCAGUUAUAAACUCCAGAUUUCUACAACUUGCUCUUGAUCGUAAGAUUCUUCUAUUGUAUGAGUAUAAAAUAUUUUCUGAAUAGAUGACUAUAACUUUGCCUAUUGUUUUGCCUAUCGCUGCUUAUCAAACCACUCCAUCACUUGGUGGUUAAAAACAUCAAUUUAUCAUUAUCUCUGUGAGAUCUCUGUGUCCACUAGAUUUGGUGGGUGGUUCUCACUUGAGGGAACUCAGGCAAUUGCAGUCAGACAGUGGCUGGGCCUGCAGACAACUGAAGGCUCCAGUGCAUUGUUCAUUCACGUGGCUGGCAGGUGAUGCUUCUCAUCAGGUGGAAGUUCAGCUGGGGUUGAUGCAGGAGCGAUUACACUUGGCUUAUCCAUGCGGCUUGGGCUCCUCAUGGUUCGGCAGUUGAGUUCUGAGAGGGAACAUCUCAAGAGCAAAUGUUCUAAGAGGCCCGGUGGAUGAUGAAGGGCUUCUUAUGACCCAGAUUUGGAAGUCACACAGCGUCUCUCCCACCACAUUCUGUUGGUCAAAGCAAUUCACACGCCCAGCCCAGAUUCAAGAUGAGGUGUGAUAGAUUCCACCUUCCAAUGGGGCUGUUGCAUUCAAUUAUGGUCAAAUUUAAUCGACCACAGUCUACUUAAAAUUGUUUAUAUUCCUCACACAUGGAACAGAGACGCAUCUCCUCUCCAGGGCCUCAAACACUCCAUGCAUUAGAGCAUCUGGGUCAGCCUUGACAUCUAGGAGCCUAUUGUCUUAAUUACGUCCAGAUGGUGAUGUGAGAAAGCCUUCAGGUGCAGAUUCUUUCACGAAUUGCAGCAUCAGGGUCAGACCUGAGAUCCAGAAGUUCAUCAUCUUAAGUCUAGAUGCGGUUGUAUUGCUGCAGGUGGGGUUCGUCAGGCAGAGAUCCUCGAGCCAGAUUAUUCUCCACUGUUAACAGACAUCAGAAUCCUGAAAGCUGCCUUCGUGGUAUAAUUCUUGACUGGUCUGGGGAAGUCUGCGUCUUAGCAACCAUGAAGACUAAGAGAGCCGCCAUGCAGAAGGAAAAAGAACAGACUGGUGUUCAAAGGGAAGAUGCCGGAGAAUCCUCAGAAAGGUGUUUCCAUGGUGCUGAAGGAGUGGAACAGCACUUGCCUCCAAGACUCUAUCCAGAGCCAUCCAUCAUCUCCCCUGACCUGUAGGGAGAAGGUCGUCAAAACCUGAGCCCUGAGGGCACUAAAGGAACCCAUUGCUGCCUGGCAAGGGAAACAAAGGAAGAAGAAAUACAACCGUGUGUGGGGGGUGUCAGAGAUAUACUCUAGGCCCAGGUUCACAUCUGAAGGAGGAGUCAGAACACUGUGAAGACCCAACGCCCUUGGAACCCACAUUUAUGGUAACUUCCUAAGCCUGAGGCCCAACAGAACGUCAGAAAAUUUCCCCCAUCCCAAGUCCCAAAACCACACUAACAAGUAUCAAAUCAUCAAAUCAAAAUAAUAAUGGAAUACACCUGGAGAGAAAUGUACAGAACAGAUUCUCUCUCAGCAGCAGUGCAAAGAUAAGACAAAACCUAACUGCAGAGACAAAAUCAAGGUGUACACACACACACACAUGCAAGUUCCUACAACAUAUCCAUACAAGUUCCUUUACAACAUAUCCAACUUUCAGCAAAACACUAUGAGGUAUAAAAAAGUCAAGAAUAAAUGUAAUCUUAAAAACAAUGCAGUUAUGAGAGCUAGACUCAAAUAUGGCACAUAUGCUAGAAAUAUGAGAAAAGCAUAAAAUAACUAUGAUUAAUAUGUUAAAGACUUGGGUGGAAAAAAGUAGACAAUGUGUGAGAUCAGAUAGGUCAUUACAGCAUAUGUGAACUGUAAGAAAAUCAAAUGAAAAUGUAGAAAUUAAAACCAUAAUCGUAGGUAGAAAGAAAUCUGAGAACAUUAAGCAGGAGAAAUACAAAAAUUACCAAACCUCGGUAUAUAAUAAUCAAACUGCUGGAAACCAAAGACAGAAAAUUUUGAGUGUAGCCAGAGAUGGAAAUACAUGUUAUGUUAAAAAAAGAAAAAAAAGGAUAAGAGUCUCAACAGACUCUUUGCAAGAAACUGUGAAUGCAAGAAGACAGUAGAGUGAGUUCUUUGAAGUGCUGAAAGCAAAACAACAGAAUUUCAUAGCUAGUGACAGUAACCCUCCAAAGAAAAAAGAGAAAUAAAGACUUUUUCAGACACAAAACAUAAAGAAACUCAGUACCAGAAAACCUACUCUAUAAGAAAUGUUACAGGAAAUUCUUCAGACAGAAGGAGUAUGAUAUGGGUCAGAACUCUGAAAAUACACAGAGAAAAGAAGAAUGCUGAAAAUGGAAUAAAUAAAGGAAAAAUAGAAUUUCCUGUUUUUAUUAUUAUUGCAGUGCUUUUAAGGACGACUGACUGAUUAAAGCAAUAAAAGCUAUAACGUGUGUUUAUGGUGUAUUUAAAAGUGAAAUGUCUGGCAGCAAUGUCACAAAAGACUGGAGAGGAACUGAGAAAGUAGUUAUAAUCUGCACAUAAUAUAUGUAAAGUAAUAUAAUACUAUUUGAAAGUGGACUCAGAUUAUUUACACAUGCACAUUUUUAUCCUGUGGCAACCACUAAAAAAGUAAAACAAGUGUAUAAAUGAUAAAUCAAUAAGAAAGAUAAAAUGAAAUCGA
rnacentral:lncRNA from 1 species